UGUCCUGUGGUGUAACUGGCAACACGUCUGAUUCUGGAUCAGAAGAGUUCAGGUUCGACCCCUGACAGGACAACAA
rnacentral:tRNA from 1 species